rnacentral:rRNA from 1 species
AACGAACGCUGGCGGCAGGCUUAACACAUGCAAGUCGAACGCCCCGCAAGGGGAGUGGCAGACGGGUGAGUAACGCGUGGGAAUCUACCCAGAUCUUCGGAACAACUGAGGGAAACUUCAGCUAAUACCGGAUACGCCCUACGGGGGAAAGAUUUAUCGGUUCUGGAUGAGCCCGCGUUGGAUUAGCUAGUUGGUGGGGUAAUGGCCUACCAAGGCGACGAUCCAUAGCUGGUCUGAGAGGAUGAUCAGCCACACUGGGACUGAGACACGGCCCAGACUCCUACGGGAGGCAGCAGUGGGGAAUAUUGGUCAAUGGGCGAAAGCCUGAACCAGCCAUGCCGCGUGAGUGAUGAAGGCCUUAGGGUUGUAAAGCUCUUUCAGUGGGGAAGAUAAUGACGGUACCCACAGAAGAAGCCCCGGCUAACUUCGUGCCAGCCGCCGCCGUAAGAC